GAUGAACGCUGGCGGCGUGCCUAAUACAUGCAAGUCGAGCGAACGGACGAUAAGCUUGCUUCUCUGAUGUUAGCGGCGGACGGGUGAGUAACGCGUGGAUCACCUACCUAUAAUACGGGGAUAACUUCGGAAAACCGGAGCUAAUACCGGAUGAUAUUUUGAACCGCAUGGUUCAAAAGUGAAUGACGGUCUUGCUGUCUCUUAUAGAUGGAUCCGCGCUGCAUUAGCUAGUUGGUAAGGUAACGGCUUACCAAGGCAACGAUGCGUAGCCGAACUGAGAGGGUGAUCGGCCACACUGGAACUGAGACACGGUCCAGACUCCUACGGGAGGCAGCAGUAGGGAAUCUUACGCAAUGGGCGAAAGCCUGACGGAGCAACGCCGCGUGAGUGAUGAAGGUCUUCGGAUCGUAAAACUCUGUUAUUGGGGAAGAACAUAUGUGUAAGUAACUGUGCACAUCGUGACGGUACCUAAUCAGAAAGCCACGGCUAACUACGUG
rnacentral:rRNA from 1 species